rnacentral:rRNA from 1 species
CCGAUGGAGUGCUUGCAUUCCUGAGGUUAGCGGCGGACGGGUGAGUAACACGUAGGCAACCUGCCUGUACGACCGGGAUAACUCCGGGAAACCGGAGCUAAUACCGGAUAGGAUGCCGAACCGCAUGGUUCGGCAUGGAAAGGCCUUUGAGCCGCGUACAGAUGGGCCUGCGGCGCAUUAGCUAGUUGGUGGGGUAACGGCCUACCAAGGCGACGAUGCGUAGCCGACCUGAGGGGGUGAACGGCCACACUGGGACUGAGACACGGCCCAGACUCCUACGGGAGGCAGCAGUAGGGAAUCUUCCGCAAUGGACGAAAGUCUGACGGAGCAACGCCGCGUGAGUGAGGAAGGUCUUCGGAUCGUAAAACUCUGUUGUCAGGGAAGAACCGCCGGGAUGACCUCCCGGUCUGACGGUACCUGACGAGAAAGCCCCGGCUAACUACGUGCCAGCAGCCGCGGUAAUACGUAGGGGGCAAGCGUUGUCCGGAAUUAUUGGGCGUAAAGCGCGCGCAGGCGGCUUCUUAAGUCAGGUGUGAAAGCCCACGGCUCAACCGUGGAGGGCCAUCUGAAACUGGGGAGCUUGAGUGCAGGAGAGGAGAGCGGAAUUCCACGUGUAGCGGUGAAAUGCGUAGAGAUGUGGAGGAACACCAGUGGCGAAGGCGGCUCUCUGGCCUGUAACUGACGCUGAGGCGCGAAAGCGUGGGGAGCAAACAGGAUUAGAUACCCUGGUAGUCCACGCCGUAAACGAUGAGUGCUAGGUGUUGGGGGAGUCCACCUCCUCAGUGCCGCAGCUAACGCAAUAAGCACUCCGCCUGGGGAGUACGGCCGCAAGGCUGAAACUCAAGGAAUUGACGGGGACCCCGCACAAGCGGUGGAGCAUGUGUUUAAUUCGAAGCAACGCGAAGAACCUUUACCAGGGCUUGACAUCCCGCUGACCCCUCCAGGAGAUGGAGCUUCCUUCGGGACAGCGGUGAC